rnacentral:rRNA from 1 species
GCCAGCAGCCGCGGUAAUACGUAGGGUGCAAGCGUUAAUCGGAAUUACUGGGCGUAAAGCGUGCGCAGGCGGUUUCGUAAGUCUGUCGUGAAAUCCCCGGGCUUAACCUGGGAAUGGCGAUGGAGACUGCGAGGCUAGAGUUUGGCAGAGGGGGGUAGAAUUCCACGUGUAGCAGUGAAAUGCGUAGAGAUGUGGAGGAACACCGAUGGCGAAGGCAGCCCCCUGGGUCAAAACUGACGCUCAUGCACGAAAGCGUGGGGAGCAAACAGGAUUAGAUACCCUGGUAGUCCACGCCCUAAACGAUGUCUACUAGUUGUUGGGUCUUAAUUGACUUAGUAACGCAGCUAACGCGUGAAGUAGACCGCCUGGGGAGUACGGUCGCAAGAUUAAAACUCAAAGGAAUUGACGGGGACCCGCACAAGCGGUGGAUGAUGUGGAUUAAUUCGAUGCAACGCGAAAAACCUUAUCUACCCUUGACAUGGCAGGAAUCCCGGAGAGAUUUGGGAGUGCUCGAAAGAGAACCUGCACACAGGUGCUGCAUGGUUGUCGUCAGCUCGUGUCGUGAGAUGUUGGGUUAAGUCCCGCAACGAGCGCAACCCUUGUCAUUAGUUGCUACGCAAGAGCACUCUAAUGAGACUGCCGGUGACAAACCGGA